UAUAGCUUUGUCUCUAAUAUCUUAAGAAUAAAUAUUCAUAUAUGUUACUUAAAUUCAGGAUUUUAAAAAUUACAAAUCCCACAGGCUUACAAUGAUUUCACGCUGCUCCUAAAGUGCAAUAUAGGGUAAGUGACACACUGGAAGUUAGACACACAAGGGCAAGAAUAACUAUUCAUCCAAGGCCAAGGUCUCGGUAAAUAAAUAAAAGAAAAAGUCACAUUGUGCCUCAACAGUCUGAAUCACGGGAGGUAUUCAUUGGAGAGAAAAUAAGGAAGCAAACAUCAUCAGGUGCUCUUCAUCUGAAUAGAAGAAUAUCAGUACGAUGUUCUGAUUAUAUAAAGUUGUUUGUUUCCCCUUACACUCACAAAAACAUUUUUAUUUUGCGCUGCACAUGUUAACCCUGACGCCAUUCCUCAUACCCCCAUUAAAUAAAUGGACUUUGGAUUCCAAACUCAGUCCAAAUGGCUACAGAGUGAACAAUUUAGUCACCACGGCUGUUGAACAUUAUAAAGAGAUAGCCCCUUCGAUCUCCUUCUAAUCUAAAAAAUUCAUUCCAAGCGUAGUUUUCAUAUAACUGGAGGACAGUUGUUUGAGGAGGGGAGGAGGAUUGGAAACAGUUUGUUUUCUCUUCCCUCGUUCCUCUCAGUGGAUUCAGUGGAUAAAGAGCAGGCACACAUUACAAUAAACAUUUUUAUGGUCCCCAACAUUAGGCAUAUAAAUCCUACCUGUCUUCACACACUUACACACUAAAACUCCCACAGAAAGGGGGAAAAUUAGAAAAGGGGUGAUAUAAUUUGACUCUGUGUCACCACCCAAAUCUCAUCUUGAAUUGUAAUCCCCGUAAUUUCUCACCUGGCAAGAGUGGGACCAGGUGGAGACAAUUGGAUCAUGGGGGCAGUUUUCCCCAUGCUCUUCUCGUGAUAAUGAUUGAGUCUCAUGGGAUCUGAUGAUUCUAUAAGUGUCUGGCUUUUCUCCUACUUGCACUCACUCCAUCCUGCCACCCUGCGAGGAAGGUGCCUGCUUCUUCUUUGCCUUCCGCCGUGAGUGUGAGUCUCCUGAGGCCUCCCCAGCAAUGUGGAACUGAUACGUCAUGGAACAGAGGGCAACCUGCCUCCUGGAAAUGUGGAGUGUCUAGGGAGUCACAGCUGAGAUCUUCCUUGGAUUAAAGGCUGCGGGUGUCACAAACAGACCUGAUUGAAAAUUCUUGAUCUGGCCACAUACCCUGUUUACAUUGAUGCAGAUUCAACUGGGUGAAAUAACUGUGAACUGGGCAUGUGAAGAGAAAGCUGAAAGCCAUGAUCUCAAGAUGGAAACUUCAGUAUCCAGCAAAGGAUGCUGUAACAACACCAUAAACUUUCAAACAACUCUAUUUCCUACGGUUCUGGAGGCUGGAAGUCCACAAUCAAAGUGUCAUGUUGUCAGGUUGUGGUGAGGGCCCUCUUUUGGGUGUAGAUUGCUAACUUUUCUGUAUGUGUUCACAUGGCAGAAAGAGAUUGAGCUAGCUCUUGGAUCCUUUCUUAUAAGGGCACCAAUCCCAAUACAGAGGCUUCACUCUCAUGACAUAAUUGUCUCCCAAAGACUCUACCUCCAAAUAUUAUCAAUCACAUUAGGGGAUAGAUUUUAACACAUGAUUUUGGGGGGAACACAUUCAGUCCAUAACAUUUCUUGAGUCUUCUUCUAGGACCCAUAGGUUAUUUUAAAAGUGGCUUGUUCAGUUCCAAGUGUUUGAAGAUUUUUUUUUUCUGUUAUCUUUAACUUACUGAUUUCUAGAUAGACCCCAUUGUGCUCAGAGAACACUCCUUAUGUGAUUUCAAUUAUUUUAAAUUUGUUGAGAUUUUAUGACUUAGUAUGUCAUCUGUCUUGGUGUGUAUUCUGUGGGGGGGAUGGGGGGUGCUUGAAAAACGGGUAUUCUGCUAUUAUAGAAUGUCAAAAUAUCAACUGUAAUAAACAAGAAAAAUAAUCCUAGUCUUUUAUUUAAGGGCCCUCUUUAGUCCAUCUCAACAGACCCUUCUCCGAAGGGGAAAGAAAUGCAGCUCACAAGAGCCCAUUAAACAACUAAAACAAGACAAAAUAAAACAACUACCCCCUGCCAAUUUGCACACUGUUACUUCUUUUGUUUUCCCAAUCUUAUUUCUUCUUCUUUUUUAUAAUAAAAAAUUUCAAAGCA
rnacentral:lncRNA from 1 species